rnacentral:misc_RNA from 1 species
AAGUCGUAACAAGGUUUCCGUAGGUGAACCUGCGGAAGGAUCAUUAACACGUAUCCAAACGUUAAAACCCCCCGUGAACCUUCAUCGUUCUCGUACUCUUUGUCAGAAUGGAUCAUUCAGACAUUCCUGGUAAAUCAUCGCCAACGGGUUUUGAUUCAGGUGACUUCUGCGUGAGUAAAGUAGUACCAUAGAACGUCAAGUGGCCCGGCAUUCUUCCGCAUAAUUGAGUCUGAAAGUGGCAAGUCUGAAAGUGGCAUCAGUUAUGUAUCGAAUGGCGCAGUAACGAUCACUAGAGGCCGACACGGCCGGCGACCGGGUCAGUGAGCUCUGCUCCCGCUGUUACGUCAAACCCCAUGUUCCCCUCUAGUGAAAGCUAUUGGGUUAUAACUAAACGACUGUUAACAAUGGAUAUCUCGAUUCUC